AACUUUUGGCAAUGGAUCUCUUGGCUCUCGCAUCGAUGAAGAACGCAGCGAAAUGCGAUAAGUAAUGCGAAUUGCAGAAUUCAGUGAAUCAUCGAGUUUUUGAACGCACAUUGCGCCCGCCAGCAUCCUGGCGGGCAUGCCUGUUCGAGCGUCAUUUCCACCCUCAGGCUCUGCCUGGUGUUGGGGGCCUGCACCCGCAGCCCCUCAAAGACAGCGGCGGUCCCGGCCCCGGCCCCGAGCGUAGUAAUAUACGUCGCUUCGGGUGCCGGGCGGGCCCCAGCCGUAAGCCUUUUUUCUCAAUAGGUUGACCUCGGAUCAGGUAGGAAUACCCGCUGAACUUAAGCAUAUCAAUAAGCGGAGGCU
rnacentral:misc_RNA from 1 species